rnacentral:rRNA from 1 species
AACGAGUGUUCUAGUUAAUUCCGUUAACGAACGAGACCACAGCCUACUAAAUAGUACGUGUUAUGGUAACAUAGUAUGAGACUUCUUAGAGGGACAUUUCGGGUUUACCGAAAGGAAGUUUGUGGCAAUAACAGGUCUGUGAUGCCCUUAGAUGUUCUGGGCCGCACGCGCGCUACACUGACAACUUCAACAAGUUUUUUGGCCUUGCCAAAUUUCCUUGGCCGGAAGGUCUGGGUAAUCUUUUAAAAGGUCGUCGUGAUGGGGCUAGAUUCUUGCAAUUAUUAAUCUCCAACGAGGAACC